GUACUGUGCGAGAGGGUGGAGGGGAGCCUGAAUACAGAAGAGGUACUCACUGGUCUCAGGAUAAACUCCCCCACAGGCAUCCCAGAGUGUGGAGCUGAUGCCCUUCGGUCCACCCUAUGCUCCACCAGCUUCAGGAGUCAGUGUGGCAUAGAUAGAUGUGGAUGACUGUGGUGUCUUGUUUUGUGUGGAGUUACAAGGUUGGUGUAUGGAUGGAACCGUCACCCCAAACAAUGAGUGGUGGAGGGUGCGUUCUGCGUUGACAGCCAGCAUGAGCGGUGACAGGAGCCAUGGGUGCCUUGCCUCCUCGCACCACCACCACAAGCACCACCACUCCUGCCAUCACCUACAAGGGGGAGACUGUGAUGUGGCUGCAGGUGGAUAGGUUCGGAGGCCUCCAGAGAGCUGCCCAGAGUGAAGCUUGUGGUAUAGAGGGACAGCCGCUGAUUAUCAAGCUUAUGGAGUGACUGGAAGAAAGUGGGAGGAGCCUGGAGGGAGUGGUGGAGGUACAGUACUUGGAGAAAAUCCCUCCGCCAUGAUGACUGGGUGUCUGCUGUACAGGCCACUGACCAAUGAGCGGCAGUGGAUCUGUACAUGAGUGAGGUGGCGAGGGGCGUGGCCAGGGGGCGGCUAGCAGCAUGUGCCACCAGGGAAAUGUGUAUGAACAUAAAAAAAGGUGCCUGUUAAGAAAGGUUCGUUCGGUGCAAGGAGUUGGCACAGGAGGUGUCUGAGGCUGUGCAGAGCGGCCGUCUGAACCUGGUGCCACAGCUGCACAGGAGGGCAUGGCAUAGCUGGCUGGACAACAUCACAGACUGGUGUGUCUCCCAGCAACUCUGGUGGGGCCACAGAAUGCCAGUGUACCACAUCACUGCAGCAGACGGCCGGGAGGUGUGGGUGGCAGCUGCUCGGAGGAAGAUGCAAGGCGGACGGCUGUGCAGAAGGAAGACUGUGCUGCUGCAUGGCCUCCUGUGUGAUGGUGGCGGCCACAAGACAUCCAAGUCCUGGGGCAAUGUGAUAAACCCCCUGGAUGUGAUCAGUGGGGCGUCCCUGGAGGUACUUUGUGAGAGGAUGGAGGGGAGCCUGAAUACAGAAGAGGUACUCACUGGUAUCAGGAGGAACUUCCCCACAGGCAUCCCAGAGUGUGGAGCUGAUGCCCUUUGGUUCACCCUGUGCUCCACCAACUUCAAUACUGCACACCCCGUCCUGCAGCCUCAAGGCACUCACCUCUCCUUUUCCAGUCAUGGGUGCCUGCCUCCUCCUUGCAACACCACCACCACCACCACCACCACUGCUGCCAUUACCUACGAGGGGGAGAGACUGUGAUGUGGCUGCAGGUGGCUAGGUUCGGAGGCCUCCAGAGAGCUGCCCAGAGUGAAGCUUGUGGUAUAGAGGGACAGCUGCUGAUCAUCAAGCUUACAUAGUGACUGGAGGAAAGUGGGAGGAGCCUGGAGGGAGUGAUGGAGAGGGGCAAUGGAUCUGUACAUGCGUGAGGUGGCGAGGGGCGUGGCCAGGGGGCGGCUAGCAGCGUGUGCCACCAGGGAAAAGUGUAUGAACAUAAAAAAAGGCGCCUGUCAAGAAAGGUGAGGCCGGCUGCAGCUUUUUAUUUUCAUUUAUUUGUUUCCAUCAGGUUAGGUUUAUAUUAAUUCAGUUAGGUUAAGUUAGGUUAAGUCUCUCUCUCUCUCUCUCUCUCUCUCUCUCUCUCUCUCUCUCUCUCUCUCUCUCUCUCUCUCUCUCUCUCUCUCUCUGUUUAUUUAACUUUCUGUUUAACCAUUUAUCGAUCUAUCUAUCUCAAUCUAUGUAACUAAUUACCUACCUAACAUAACCAUCUCUCUCUCUCUCUCUCUCUCUCUCUCUCUCUCUCUCUCUCUCUCUCUCUCUC